CGGACUUCUUUAGCAAUCAGAUUCCAACCGAAUUUGUCCAACAGAAAGUUUCCGUCUGGACUUCUACAGCAGAUGACUUUCAUCUGCGGUAUCAACACCUAAGGCACCCAACAAUAGUUAACCCGUCAGUAACCUCAAAAAUAUUUGAGCUUCUCUUAGAUUGCUGAGACAGAAAGCUAUUCCCUUCCACCAGACGUCCCAACCAAGCUU
rnacentral:lncRNA from 1 species